rnacentral:tRNA from 1 species
ACUUAAAUAGCUUAAAUAAUAGAGCAUAAUAUUGAAGAUAUUAGGGUAAUAGUAAUAUUUUUAAGUA